GGGUCUCUAGCUCAGUGGUAGAGCAGCUGACUGCAGUCGCAAGGUUCACGCGGCCCAUCAGCAGGUCUCGAGUUCGAUCCUCGAGGGGCCCU
rfam:Chlamydomonas reinhardtii strain CC-503 cw92 mt+ CHLREscaffold_39 genomic scaffold, whole genome shotgun sequence.